CAAAUUCUUAUUGACUGAUUGAUUGUUUUGAUUGAUUUGAUUGGUUGACCUCGGAUGUGCUUUGCACAGACUAAUGCAAACACAGCUCUGAACCAAUCAGCGCACGCAUUUCAUUGUGUUUAUUUUAUAAUCACGUUUGUCAGGCUGGAGGGAGUUUAUCCCUAUAUGUAAUGUAUUAAUGAGUAAUCCAAUCAGUGAUGCAAACACUAUUGUCCACUUUUAUCCAUUGCCAACACUAUUAUCCACUAUUAUCCCUCGUUGCACAACUAACAUUUGCACCUUUGCAUUACGAACAUUUGCACCAUUAUAGUACUAACAUUUACACUGUUGCACAACUAACUACAGCAGCCUCUUUCAUUAAAGCUCCGCGAUGCUCAAGUUUCAGUCAAGUUUCCAUAAGUCGAGUCGCUUUUUCGAGGAGCAAUCGUUUUAAAGCAUAGGUUUUGGCGUUUUUAGCUUGCAAACAUAAGAAGAAAAAUAUUUGACUUAUUUGUUAUUCGUGGAAAGCAUAUCAAUGAGAAAUGAAUAAUAUUGGUCAGUGUUGAAGAGUAUGUCAGUUGAGUAUGUCACAAGCUUCGUUGUUCACUAGGCGCACAUGGACCACUGGACUAGAUAGAUCAUUUCGAGGCACUCCAUUUAUCGCGUUUGAGGCUCCAAAGUUUGGCUUUUUGAAAAUUUCCUUGAUCAAACUUGGAAGAAAAUUUUAUUUCAAAUUUUUGAUACUCGUGAAGCUUUGACAGUCACGUUAUCGACCUUAGGUAAGGCGAAACUUUAUAUGGAUUAUUCAAAGCUGUUUUCUAUUUCAAUGACAGCUUGUUCUGAGAAUGUUUACUACCAUAUUUGGUUAUGUGGGGAAUAACCUAGAAAUCAACGACCAUCAACGACCAUCAACGACAGUCGGAUGAUCACAAAAUCUUCCUUUUCUUCGCGACGUAUGGACCUAUGGCGACAAAUGUUUUCAAUGGAACAAUCUAAAUAUUCUUUUAGGAAAAAACAUUUUUCUUGUACUCGAAUAAAAUAUUUAAAACGUCUUAGUAAGCAUGAAUUUGUUGUCUUGAAGUAAUCGGGGAUUUCCUUAGGGAAUACCCUUCUGGAGCAUAUAACUAAAAUCUAACAGCACCCUCGUCAUAAGAAAGAAGUUCUUCAUAAGAAGUACUAUCUACGUAAAGAUUGAAGAAAGUUAUAAAAUAGCACAGGAUAUUUGUGUUCACUGCGUUGGAGAAGUUUGAAAAUAUAGCUUCGUCGACUUUCAUUCAUAGUCAUGGCAUUUCCAACCAAAUUGACACUAUCCCAUUUCCUGAUUUGCUUUUUGCUGUUGUUAAUCCUCACGGAGUGUCUGGCGUCGACUAGCAAGGCAGCAUCAUUUUGGAUGAUGUUAUAGAAGUCAUUGAGCAAUCACUGACAGUCGGUACCGGUGUUACCGUUGGCUUAAAGAUUUUAAGGAAUAUAUUUUAGGACUAAAAAUAGAACCUACAAUCUCAUUAAAGAUAAUUUGUGUCAAUAUAGUUAAGAAAGUGGCGUAUAUUUUUGACUUUGUAAAUGAUUUUGUUCUAGUUGAUUCGAAAGUUUGAGAGAAAA